GAUGAACGCUGGCGGCGUGCCUAAUACAUGCAAGUCGAGCGAACGGACGAGAAUCUUGCUUCUCUGAUGUUAGCGGCGGACGGGUGAGUAACACGUGUAUAACCUACCUAUAAUACUGGUAUAACUUCGGGACACCGGCUCUAAUACCGGAUAAUAUUUUGAACCGCAUGGUUCAAAAGUGAAAGACGGUCUUGCUGUCACUUCUCGAUGGAUCUGCGCUGCAUUAGCUGGUUGGUAGGUUAACGGCUUACCAAGGCAACGAUGCAUAUACGACGGGAGAGGGUGAUAGGCCACAUGAGAGCGUGGACAGGGUCAUGACUACUGCGGGAGGCAGCAGUAGCGAAUCGGACGCAGUGGUCGAAAGCAUUACGGAGCAAGGGCGAGUGAGUUAUGACGGCCUUCGGAGCGGAAUACUCUGUUAUGAGUGAAGAACAGAUGUGUAAGGAGCUGUGCAGAGAGUGACGGUACCGAAUAAGAAAGCAACGGCUAACUACGUG
rnacentral:rRNA from 1 species